AGAGUUUGAUCAUGGCUCAGGAUGAACGCUGGCGGCGUGCCUAACACAUGCAAGUCGAGCGGCAGCGCGAGUAGUUUACUACUUGGUGGCGAGCGGCGAACGGCUGAGUAACGCGUGGGAAUUUGCCCCAAAGUGAGGAAUAACUGCCCGAAAGGGUGGCUAAUGCCGCAUAUGAUCUUCGGAUUAAAGGAUUUAUCCGCUUUGGGAGAAGCCCGCGUCGGAUUAGGUAGUUGGUGAGGUAAUGGCUCACCAAGCCGACGAUCCGUAGCUGGUCUGAGAGGAUGACCAGCCAGACUGGAACUGAGACACGGUCCAGACUCCUACGGGAGGCAGCAGUGAGGAAUCUUCCGCAAUGGACGAAAGUCUGACGGAGCAACGCCGCGUGAGUGAUGACGGCCUUCGGGUUGUAAAGCUCUGUUAAUCGGGACGAAAGGCCUUCUUGCGAAUAGUGAGAAGGAUUGACGGUACCGGAAUAGAAAGCCACGGCUAACUACGUGCCAGCAGCCGCGGU
rnacentral:rRNA from 1 species